rnacentral:rRNA from 1 species
UCCGAUUGGUGAACCAGCGGAGGGAUCAUUACCGAGUUUACAACUCCCAAACCCCUGUGAACAUACCUAUCGUUGCCUCGGCGGUGCCCGCUCCGGCGGCCGCCAGAGACCCAACUCUGUUAUACAGUAUCUUCUGAGUAACACGAUUAAAUAAUCAACUUUCAACAACGGAUCUCUUGGUUCUGGCAUCGAUGAAGAACGCAGCGAAAUGCGAUAAGUAAUGUGAAUUGCAGAAUUCAGUGAAUCAUCGAAUCUUUGAACGCACAUGGCGCCCGCCAGUAUUCUGGCGGGCAUGCCUGUACGAGCGUCAUUUCAACCCUCAAGCCCGGGCUGGUGUGGGGGAUCGGCGUGCCCUGCGGCGCCGUCCCCUAAUCUAGUGGCGGUCUCGCUGUAGCUUCCUCUGCGUAGUAGCAACACUCGCACUGGAUCGCAGCGCGGCCACGCCGUUAACCCCCCACUUCUGAAAGUUGACCUCGGAUCAGGUAGACUACCCGCUGAACUUAAGCAUGACAAGCGAGACGACACUAGAUUAGGGACGGCGCGCGCGAGCGCC